AUUGAACGCUGGCGGCAGGCCUAACACAUGCAAGUCGAACGAGUGGCGGAUGGGUGAGGAAUGUCUGGGUAACCGCCCGAUGGAGGGGGAUAACUACAGGAGACGGUAGAUAAUACCGCAUACCAUCGGAGCUGUUUAGAUGGGAUUAGCUAGUAGGUGGGGUAACGGCUCACCUAGGCGACGAUCCCUAGCUGGCCUGAGAGGAUGAGCAGCCACACUGGGACUGAGACAGGGUACAGGCUCCUACGGGAGGCGGCCGUAGGGAAUGUUGCACAAGGGGGGGAAACCUGAUGAAACCAUGCCGAGUGUGUGAUGAAGGCCUUCGGGUUGUAAAGUGCUUUCGGCAGGAAGGCGGUACCCGCAGAAGAAGCACCGGCUAACUCCGUGCCAGCAGCCGCGGUAAUAC
rnacentral:rRNA from 1 species